GAUGAACGCUGGCGGCGUGCCUAAUACAUGCAAAUCGAGCGAACGGACGAGAAGCUUGCUUCUCUGAUGUUAGCGGCGGACGGGUGAGUAACACGUGGAUAACCUACCUAUAAGACUGGGAUAACUUCGGGAAACCGGAGCUAAUACCGGAUGAUAUUUUGAACCGCAUGGUUCAAAAGUGAAAGACGGUCUUGCUGUCACUUAUAGAUGGAUCCGCGCUGCAUUAGCUAGUUGGUAAGGUAAUGGCUUACCAAGGCAACGAUGCAUAGCCGACCUGAGAGGGUGAUCGGCCACACUGGAACUGAGACACGGUCCAGACUCCUACGGGAGGCAGCAGUAGGGAAUCUUCCGCAAUGGGCGAAAGCCUGACGGAGCAACGCCGCGUGAGUGAUGAAGGUCUUCGGAUCGUAAAACUCUGUUAUUAGGGAAGAACAUAUGUGUAAGUAACUGUGCACAUCUUGACGGUACCUAAUCAGAAAGCCACGGCUAACUACGUG
rnacentral:rRNA from 1 species